UACGGAGGGUGCAAGCGUUGUCCGGAUUUAUUGGGUUUAAAGGGUGCGUAGGUGGCUUUAUAAGUCAGCGGUGAAAUCCGACAGCUCAACUGUCGAUCUGCCAUUGAUACUGUAGAGCUUGAGUAUUGUCGAGGUAGGCGGAAUUGAUGGUGUAGCGGUGAAAUGCAUAGAUAUCAUCAAGAACUCCAAUUGCGAAGGCAGCUUACUAGAGAAUAACUGACACUGAGGCACGAAAGCGUGGGUAGCAAACAGG
rnacentral:rRNA from 1 species